CGGCGUGCCUACACAUGCAAGUCGAGCGAGAAGAGAGGCGAGAGAACAGAGGCUUGAAGCUUUUGUUUAUUGGUUUCAGGUUUUUGUUCUCUUGCUUCUCGGAAAGCGGCGAACGGGUGAGUAACACGUGGGUGAUCUACCUGAAAGUCUGGGAUAACAGUUCGAAAGGGCUACUAAUACCGGAUGAAGUUACUGGUGUAGAGCUAGUAAUCAAAGCGUUACGGAGCGCUUUCAGAUGAGCCCGCGUCCCAUUAGCUAGUUGGUGAGGUAAAGGCUCACCAAGGCGACGAUGGGUAGCCGGUCUGAGAGGAUGGUCGGCCACACUGGAACUGAGACACGGUCCAGACUCCUACGGGAGGCAGCAGUGGGGAAUUUUGCGCAAUGGGGGCAACCCUGACGCAGCGACGCCGCGUGAGCGAAGAAGGCCUUCGGGUUGUAAAGCUCUGUCUGGGGGGAAGAUAGUGACGGUACCCCCGGAGGAAGCCCCGGCUAACUACGUGCCAGCAGCCGCGGUAAGACGUAGGGGGCGAGCGUUGUCCGGAAUUACUGGGCGUAAAGGGCGUGUAGGCGGCCAUGCAAGUCAGCUGUGAAACCCCCGGGCUCAACCCGGGACGUGCAGUUGAAACUGUAUGGCUUGAGUGCAGGAGAGGAGAGUGGAAUUCCUAGUGUAGCGGUGACAUGCGUAGAUAUUAGGAGGAACACCAGUGGCGAAGGCGGCUCUCUGGACUGUAACUGACGCUGAGGCGCGAAAGCGUGGGGAGCAACAGGAUUAGAUA
rnacentral:rRNA from 1 species